CAAUAGCGUAUAUUAAAGUUGUUGCGGUUGAAAAGCUCGUAAUUGGAUUUCUGUUGGGAACGACCGGUCCGCCCAUUGGGUGUGUAUCUGGCUUGUUCUCGGCAUCUUCUUGAUGAACGUUGCUGCACUUGAUUGUGUGGAGCGCUACCCAGGACUUUUACUUUGAGGAAAUUAGAAUGUUUCAAGCAGGCAUAUGCCUUGAAUACAUUAGCAUGGAAUAAUAAGAUAGGACCUCGGUUCUAUUUUGUUGGUUUCUAGAGCUGAGGUAAUGAUUAAUAGGGAUAGUUGGGGGCAUUCGUAUUUAACUGUCAGAGGUGAAAUUCUUGGAUUUGCUAAAGACGGAUUACUGCGAAAGCAUUUGCCAAGGAUGUUUUCAUUGA
rnacentral:rRNA from 1 species